rnacentral:rRNA from 1 species
GACGAACGCUGGCGGCGUGCCUAAUACAUGCAAGUAGAACGCACAGUUUAUACCGUAGCUUGCUACACCAUAGACUGUGAGUUGCGAACGGGUGAGUAACGCGUAGGUAACCUGCCUGGUAGCGGGGGAUAACUAUUGGAAACGAUAGCUAAUACCGCAUAAUAUUAAUUAUUGCAUGAUAAUUAAUUGAAAGGUGCAAUUGCACCACUACCAGAUGGACCUUCGUUGUAUUAGCUAGUAGGUGAGGUAACGGCUCACCUAGGCGACGAUACAUAGCCGAACUGCGAGGGUGGUCGGCCAGACUGGGAGUGAGACACGGCACAGAGUGCUACAGGAGGCAGCAGGAGGGCAUCUUCGGCAAUGGGCGAGAGUCUGACCGAGAAGCGCCGCGGGAGUGAAGAAGGUUGUCGGAUCGUAGAGCUCUGUUGUAAGAGUAGAACGGGUGUGAGAGUGGAAAGUUCACACUGUGACGGUAUCUUACCAGAAAGGGACGGCUAACUACGUG